AACGGCCGCGGUAUCCUAACCGUGCAAAGGUAGCAUAAUCAUUUGCCUAUUAAUUGUAGGCUAGAAUGAACGGGUUAACGAAAUAAAGACUGUCUCAAUUAAUUACCUAAAAAUUAUUAUCUAUCUGAAGAAAGGUAGAUAGACUCGAAGGACAAGAAGACCCUAUAGAGCUUAAUUUUAAUUAUAGAGUUAAACUAUAAAAAUAUUCGGUUGGGGCGACCCCGGGCUAAAUAAUCACCCAAUAUACACAAGAUAAAUUAAUCAAAUAAUUGACCCUUUAAAGAUCAUAAAACCAAGCUACCUUAGGGAUAACAGGCUAAUCCCACUCAAGAGUCCUUAUCAACAGUGGGGUUUGGCACCUCGAUGUUGGCUUAGG
rnacentral:rRNA from 1 species